rnacentral:rRNA from 1 species
AUUGAACGCUGGCGGCAUGCCUUACACAUGCAAGCCGAACGGUAACAGGCCGCAAGGUGCUGACGAGUGGCGAACGGGUGAGUAAUGCAUCGGAACGAGCCCAGUCGUGGGGGAUAACGCAGCGAAAGCUGCGCUAAUACCGCACACGAUCUAUGGAUGAAAGCGGGGGACCGUAAGGCCUCGCGCGAUUGGAGCGGACGAUGUCAGAUUAGGUAGUUGGUGGGGUAAAGGCUCACCAAGCCAACGAUCUGUAGCCGGUCUGAGAGGACGACCAGCCACACUGGGACUGAGACACGGCCCAGACUCCUACGGGAGGCAGCAGUGGGGAAUUUUGGACAAUGGGCGCAAGCCUGAUCCAGCAAUGCCGCGUGCAGGAAGAAGGCCUUCGGGUUGUAAACUGCUUUUGUACGGAACGAAACGGUCCUGGUUAAUACCCGGGGCUAAUGACGGUACCGUAAGAAUAAGCACCGGCUAACUACGUGCCAGCCGCCGCCGUAAGAC